CUUUCUCCCUCUACUAAUCUUGCAUGGAGAUCUCAUUGACUCUUAUUUAGAGGUUGAUACCAAACCAAGAGCAACUGUCUUAUCAUAGUCAUAUCAUAUUCCCAGGCUUUGCCCAACCUCUGUGGAAGUAUUAUGUAAGUGUACAUCAAGAAGUGGGAAUCUUGGUGACCAUCUUGAAAUUCUGCCUACCACAAUGGCGGAAAUAUUCCUUGACUAAUCCAUUUCUCAUUGUUAUCUUGCUGCUUCCAAGUGGAGUGUCCAUCCCUUAAUUAUCUGGACAAAUAGGGUUUCCCUUGGUAGAUAUUCUGAUGAACGCUUGACUUGUUUUGUCUUUGAUUACGUUCAGUAUCACUACAUUUACUUUAGCCAGACUUUCUUGCAAGUCAUCCACAUUUCUCUUUCUUCUUCAUUUAGAGUCUCUUCCCUUCAUAAAAGUUAUUUGCAUUUCCCCCUUACAAACUUUGACUUUUUGUGUUUCCAAUUCUUGAGAGGAAAUUUUUAGGGUCUAUCAGGGCUUGUUUAUAAUUGCUCCUGCAUCAAAACUGUUUCAAAAUCAAAGAUUUACACACCAUUUUUUUAUUGCCCUAAAGGAAAAGCUAGGAACCUAUUUAUUCCAUAGUCUUUGUAAAGACUGUGCAUAUUAAUCGUGCACAUACUAUUUUACUAUGUACCACACAAUGACUUAAACACAGGAUUUCUAUUCAAAAUAUGAAAUAGAAAGUAUCACAGAAGAGUGGCAAUUGUGUGAUAUUGUCCUUUUUAACAUCACAGAUGGCUUUUAUAUAAAACUUCAGCAUACACAUAAUUUCUUCUCUUUUCUGGAAGAUGGGAAUAAUGUACACUUCCUUAAUCUCUUGGACAAAAUCAAACACUUGAGUAUAGAUACAAAUUGCUUUCCAACAAUAAGAGAAUUUUUCACUCCUUUUUACUUAGACAUUGUAUGAGUUUCCUCAGGUUGCCAUAACAAAUGCCACAAACUGGAUGGCUUUUUAUUUUUUUCACAAUCCUAGCAGCUAAAAGUUAAGAUCAAGAGCCUGAAGGUUUGGUUUCUUCUAAAACCCUCUCCUUGCUUGCAGAUAGACUUCUUCCAGUGUCUUCACGUGGUCUUCCCUCUGUGUGGAUCUGAGUCCUAAUCUCUCUUGGAAGGGCACUCACUAGUUAUAUGGGAUGAAGGCCCACCCUAAUAACCUCAUUUAGUGAAAUUGUCUCUUCAACAUUCCUAACUCCAAAUACAGUCACAAUCUGAGGUCCUGGGAGUGAGGACUUCAACAUAUGAAAAGCUGGAAGGAGAAGAAAGUUCAGCCCACAACACUCAUGAUAGGAACUAGCUGCUUUGUGUCCCGGCAUCUAAGGAGAAGUUCAAAAUGCAAAACACAGUGUAAAAGAAGUAAUUACUGAGAUGAACAGAUGCUAUUAUGGGACCCCAUUUUAUAGCUGUGCCUCAGUGUUGUUUCUAGAGGAACUUUCCAGAGCAGUAAGCACCCAGUAUAUGCUUGGUAGAUUGUAAUCGACCAUUCAGAGAAACAUGUUGAGUAUUUUCUGGAAUUGAAUGAAAAGGGCAAAAAUAAGCCAUUUCCCAGCAUUUUAUUGGAUUCCAUAAGAAUUUUGAGCAUCAGACUAUACUCUGCUAUGUAGGAGCCAGUUCCAGCAGGAAUCUUUUGGGUUCCUACACAUAUUAUUGUCAGACGAAGGAUAGCAACCCACCUGUUAUACAAUAUUAUCUUGACAUGCAUUUUUAAUGAAUUGGGUCCCUCAGUUUAUGUGCACUCAUAAAACCUAAUAGUUCAACCUCUCUAUAACCAUAUUCACCACUUCCCAUCUGAGGAAAUACAUUUUAUUAUAAAAUUACAAUUUUUGUAAUUUAGAUCUCUAGUUUCUAAGAUAAGAAAACAGACAUAUCAUUUGGGGGCAGGAAUAGAAACAAAGUAAACUCUGCUUAAAACAGAAGAAACAACUUUUUGAAAACAUUGCUGGACAUACUUUCACAGUUCUUGAGAAAUAUUUAUUUUUUGUUCAUCUUCUGACUAUGGAUAAUGAACCGAAUUUUUUAAGUUAAAAAUAAGUUUUACUGGCUAUUUGCCCUAAAUGAAGAGACAUCUUCUACCCCAAUGCAAUAGCAAAAACUAAAAUCUCUAACUGAAAAGAUGUCUUCUCUCACACUAUUAUCCAUAAUUAGGAAUUUGGUCACAAGUAAGAGUAACUUGGUGACAGCCAUGUUAUCAUACUCCUCCUAACUUCUCUCUCUUCCAUAUGUCGAAUGACUUACUGAUUUAUUUUCUCCACAGGUACAAUAUUUGGCUCCUAGCUAGUGUGCAACAGAUCUUUGUUAUCAGAUCUUCUUCCUGCUACUUCAGAUAACUUUGACGAUUACUUAAAUUCUACUUCCCGGACUAACCUCUCUUUCCUUUCCACUGUAGGCUACCAGUGGGCACAUUUUAGAGCACAUUUACCCUCUGAUUAAUAGCUAAAUAAGCUUAGAAAUUUAGGAAAGGUAAAUUGGGCCACUUGGUACUUUUUCAUAUAAGGAAAACAAACUACUUGUGUGCCUCAGUGUUGCUUCUGGAGGAACUUCCCAGAGCAUUGAGCAGUCAGUACUAACUCCUAGCAUGAUGUGAGUCUUUCCAGUCUUGUGAUGUCAACUUUCUAUCUUGCCAGGGUUAAAGAAGUUUGGAUUAGGGUAAAUAGGUACCAUUUUCUUAGAGAUGCAUAGUAUCUUCUUAUUGUUACACUCAAGAGUUAUGUUAGUGUUAAUUUGAACAGUCAGAAGAGUUUAGGUUAGAAUUUCAAAGAAAUGUAUGAAUCCUUCAAAUCUCAAUUUUCCUCUAUGGUAUAAAAUAUCACUCUUCUUUUAAAAAGAUCCUAAAAUCAUCCCAAAUUACCAGAUCCAAAUGCUGAACAACCAGUCCGUGUUUACCACGAGGAAUAGGGUUAAAAUUUGCUCUCCAAUGACAAAUCCCAACCCGGAACAGAUUUCAGCCAGGCAGCUAGCAGAGCUCGCCGGGUGAACUGCACAGGCCAUGGUGGGUGCACAGCUCAGAGCCGGAAAGCAAACAGCUGCUGUAGCCUGAUUUGAGUUAAAAUAGUGUGAGUGUUUAGUCUGGCGCACGGCUUCAGGGGAGAUUGGCAGCUGGGUCAAACAAAGUCCUUCCAUUGGCUCUCUUCCCAGGCAGCUUCUGCUAGUAUUUAGGUACUAGUGCAGUGUAGGGCCCUUUUCUCAGGCAAAAGCUAACAUCUGACCGCACCCUCUUUGCUUUUCCAAAAAAAAAAAAAAAAAAGAAAAAAAAAAAGAAAAGAAAAGAAAAAGAAAAAAGAAAGAAAAGAAAAAGAAAGGAAGGAAGAAAAAGAAAACAAAAAAGAAAAAAAGAAAAAACCUUUUUCCUUCUUUCAUUAAGAUAAAUUCGCCAAUAGACAACCUCUCCCACUAAUUGUGUAUUAGCAAUGUAUUUUAUCUUGAGAGCUGACGCACUGGGCUCUCAACGUGGUGUGGAAAGCAGCCUGUUACAGUGCUGGAUUCAUAAAAGGGCCUUUAUGGUUUGUGAAAGAAUAUCUGUGUGCUUAGGCAGGAAACUUUUUGAUCUGCAGAAAAGCCAGAAGACAUCUAGCAGACCAGAGUAGGGGUGGCCAUCUCAUUGAGAUGUAUACAGUACGAAAGGGUUAUUCAAAACACUUGAGGAUAAAUAACAGAUGAAUUCUUAAAACUGUUAAUCUCUAGUAUCCUUGAAGAUUAAUCAGAGACCUUUUCAUGCACCUCUAAAGGGAAAAACUUAAAAUGGAUAUGAGAAGUGAAGAAAGUGAUCAUAGGAGAAAAUCAUCUCAGAAUUCCUGAAAACAUAUGAUGUGCCAGCCAUUGUGCAAGGACAGGAACGCAGCAAUGAGUGAACAUAAAGAGAGUUGGAAGAAGCAGAGGGACAGGAAGAGAAAGAAUCUUGGCAAGGAGCCUAACAUGCAGCUUGGUAUCACAACCCUAAGAUCAUGACCUGAACUAAAAUCAAGAGUCAGAUGCUUAGCCCGCUGAACCACCCAGGUGCCCCAUGAACUAAAUCAAUUUUUAAGGAAAAAGAUCUUUAAUUUUAUGUAAAGAGUAAGGCUCAAAAAAAUAGAAACUAGAAAGAGAAUAUAACAAAUAGGAAAUAUAAAAGAGAGAGGGUAAUCCUGUUGGUAAUUGACUUGACUAAUCUUGAAGGUAAUUGCAGUUUUCUUUUUUUUUUUUUAAGAUUUUAUUCAUUUUUUCAUGAGAGAGAGAGAGAGGCAGAGACACAGGCAGAGGGAGAAGCAGGCUCCAUGCAAGUAGCCCAAACUGGGACUCGAUCCCAGGAUUCCAGGAUCACACCCUGGGCCAAAGGCAGUUGCCAAACCGCUGAGCCACACAGGGAUCCCUGGUAAUUGCAGUUUUCUUGAUGAAAUACAGUAGAGCCCUUGUCUGUGGGGGGAUAUAUUCCAAGAUUCCCCCCAGUGGAUGCCUGAAACCACAGAUAGUACCAAAUCCUAUAUUUGCCAUAUUUUUCCUAAGUGCAUAUUCCUAUGAUAAAGUUUAAUUUAUAAAUUAAGCACUAUAAGAGAUUAACAACAAAAACUAAUAAUCAAAUAGAACUAUUAUAACAAUAUAUUGUAAUAAAAGUUACAUGAACAUGGUCUCUCUCUCUCUCUCAAAAUAUCUUAUUGUGCUGUACUCACCCUUCUUGCAGUACUGUGAGAUGAUAAUAUGCCUGUGUGAUUAGAUGAAGUCAGAUGAAUGAUGUGGGCAAUGGAACAUAACAGGAUGCUAUUGUCCUUCUGACAAUAUGAGGGAAGGAUGACUGCUUCCGGACUGUGGGUAACUGAAAUGCAGAAAGCAAAACUGUGGAUAAGUGGAGGACUAUUGUAUUAGUAAAUAUAACUUGUAUAGAGUAUUAAAAUAAUACCCCAUAAUAUAUCAAUACUUCCAUUUAUCUCAGCCACAUGUAGAUAAUUAAAUGACCAAUAUCUAGUAUUUGAACUUUCCAUAUGUCUGUCCAUGUUUUUAGUUUUCUUAUAUGGCCCAUAAAUAUGUUCUAAGUAUUUUUCUUACAGUUUUAUACUUUUGUACAAAUCUGACUCAUUUCUUUCCAUUACAUUUUUACCUGGUUAUUGCUGAAUUAGAUAAGUCACAUAAUUUCACACACACUACAGUUUGGAUGUCAGCAGAAAAUAUAGUGCCCAUAAUCUAGUCUUUCUCUCAAAUCCACAUGCAGAAUUUGUCAGAAAAACAGUUUUCAAUCUCUUUAAAUGUACUCUGAUCUGCUAUGUUAGAAGAUAUUCAAUCCUUCGGUCAUAAUUUCCUGGGAAUUACAAGUCGAUUAGAGAUUCAAAUCUGCUGCUUAGCAGGGUCUGAAUUCCAGUUUUGGCUCAGGUAAGGGAACAUAUUUAAAAAUGUCAACAUUUUAAAUCAAUAUCAUUAAAUUGUAUGCAGAGUGGGGUUUUUUUUUGUAAUUUUCUUAAAGAUUUAUUUAUUUAUUUUGGAGGAGGGGGCAGGCAGAGAGAGAGGGAGAGAAAGAGAAUCCAAGGAGACUCCCUGAUGAGAGUGAAGCUCAGUGCAGGGGGCAAUCCUAGGAUUCUGAGAUCAUGCCCUGAGCUGAAAUCAAGAGUGGGACACUCAACUGACUGAGGUACCAUGUGCCCCAUGUGUAGGUUUCUAAAGUUUUUACGAAUAUUUUUCAUUUCAUUUCAUAACAAUUUUGUAAAAUGUUUCAUUUUAUUUAUUUAUUUUUACUUUUAGCAGAUAUGCUAUAUUUAAAAAUAAAUACAUGUCAACGGACUAGAGACUCACAUUUUACUUUCUGCUACAUUUGUUUAUCCUAUCAUCACUCCUUGGAUUUUAAGAUUAAUGCUCUUGGGAAAGACUCUUCCUCCCAACACUCCCCCACCUCCCCUACUUGCUGUGCUUCAUUUGGUUUAUUGGUGUGGUGAGAGCAGAGCUGACUCAUAGGAUCCUCAUAGACUGGACAUUAGGAUAUGGCCCUCUACCACAGGAAUAGCAAAGUGGUACCUCAAGCUUCAUCCACAAAGGCUGAUCCAGUCCAAGCCCUUCCAGAUUUUGUUCUUCAUACUCUACCAGUCUAGGUCUUAUAAUAGGCAGAGAGCUCUCCAUCACCAGGAGCAUUAGGCAGGACAAGCUUCCACCAGUGUCUAUGUUCCAGGAUCUCAUUCUAUGAAUUUACUUUUGUCUUCAGAGACUGGAAUACUUCACACUUGCCAACCUAUGCUUGAAGAGGAUCAAUCUGUGUCAUCUUUUCCCCAAUUUCUUAGCAUCAAGUAUUUUUUCAUUCACUAAUGCCCCACCUGGGAUAUCUAACAGAAACUGAUAUAUCAAAGAUGAGAUGAGCAUAAACGUUCAUAGAGGAAAGUAGAGAAGUCGUAGUCUAAAUGUAUUCAACCAUGAAAAUAAUUUAGAAUAUAUAAAAGUGCAGUAUGUGUCACAAAAACGUAAGAUACACCAAUGAGGGUAGAUUUGAAAUACCAAUUCAAAGCAGACUUUAACCCUUGAGCCAGGCUCAAUACUUUCCUUCCUUAAUUAGGAACUUACUGUAUAUCAGACAUUGUGUCUAAGAAAUGUGCAUAUAUAAUCAUAUUAAAUCUUUCCAUCAAUUAGGUUUUUUAUUGCCUUUCAUUUUUAGAUAAGAGAACUAAAAUUUAGAGAGGUUAAAAAAUUGGUCCUUUGUGAUACAGACAAUAAAUAGCAAAUAAAUCUUGAUUCAAAUGCUAAUUUUGCACAUGAUCGUAAGUUUGUAAGCACAAUGUUACAAUAUUGUUAUGUGUUACUUUUAUUGAUUGGAAAAGAUUGAAAUCCAAUUCACAGUUUAAGAAAAAGCAGAAGUCAUAGAAAAGACCCUGAGUGGAUUCAGAGGAACCAAAGACAGGAAUGUAGCUGGGCCUCUGGAUCAUCAGAAACCAGCCAUUGGAACCCUGUCCAGAUUCGGUUUCCAUCCGCCUCUACUCUUAUCAUAUCCCCCCUUCCCACCCCCUACUUAUUCCCUUUCCCUCUACCUUCCAUGAUGGCCAUCACUGGCUUACUCACUUCAGUUCACAUGGUGGAAAAUCAGUUGCCAUAAGCUUUCUAUCUCCUAGUUCACACACUCAAUGCCCAAAAAAGAUGAACUUCACUCACUUUGGAACACAGAGCCCACAAUUCAAGGGGAUGGAAAACUUUGACCAGGUGUAGGUCAUUGCCCAUUCAAAACAAUCAUUAAUUCAUUCACUUAAAAUUAUUUUGGGAAUGUUCCGUGUAUCUGACCCUGUCCUGAAUACUAGGAAUAUAGGGGUGAACCAGACAGUCAAGAUCUUACAUUCUAGAGGAUAUUCAGGUAAUAAGUAAGUUAAAAUAUAAAUAUUUGAGAGGCAAGGACAUAUAUAAAACAAAGAUAUAAGCCCAUCUCUAAUGGUGCUAAAGCAAAACAAGGUUGUAUACAUAGCAAGCAAUGGGAUGGAGGUCAGCAUUAGAUAGAGUUAUAAGAGGAUAUUUCUUGGAGAUGACAUUAGAGCAGAGACUCAAAUGACAAGAAGAAACCAGCCAUCAAGAAAUCAAGGAAGACUGUUGUAGGAAGAGAAUAUAAAAGGCACAAAAUCAAUGAGCUGAGAAUACUAGUCAGCCAAGAUGGCUAGAACUUACUAAGUAGAUGAGAGAAAGAGCAGAUGAGUUACAGAACUGAGACAAGGGGAGAGAGAGAGGAGAGAGAGAGAGAGAGAGAGAGAGAGAGAGAGACUAAAAAUCUGUUUGGAAGGCAUUUGAAUAUUAUUCAAAGUGAAAAUGUUAUAGCCAGAGGGAGGAUGCUCUGAUUUGCCCAAGUUAGGCUUGGUAUCCCCUGGGUUAUAUUUUAAUGUGGCUGCUGUUGUUGUAGCCAGCGGGCAAGAGGAGGUUGAGGAGGAGGAAAAGGAGAAGAAGGGGGAGUAUAUUUCCCUGUUGGAGCCAAGGUUCUGGGCAGAUAGAACAAGGAACAAUUCUGUUCCUUUCUCAGUUCUGUUCACACACUUCCCUUAUAAAUUCUCUUAACUGUUAAUCUCCACAUAUUGUCAAGCAUCAGUAGCCACUGUUCUUGCAAAGCCAGCUCUAUCUAGAAGGUUAUAUUUUCCACCAGUUUUAAAUAUGUUAAAUUUUCCAUUCUUCCGUGCAAUUUUAAGGCUCUUUGAAGGGGCAGCUCAAUUAGAAUAUCAUCCAACGUUGGAAAAUUAUCUUCGUAAUGCUGAUUUGUUGAUUGAUUACCUGAUGGUUAAUAACUACUUGAAUACUGUGUAUAGCAUCCAGGCAUUGGCUUCCAGUUAGAUUUCACCAGGCUUCGUAUCUUCGAUUCCCUGUCUUCCAAUCUCUGUUAUUUGCCAGGCUUAUUUUCAGUUUCCUUAGUAAAAAUUAUUGCAUCCUGUGGGUGUCUGCGAGCUCUUGGGCAAAGAGCAUCCUACAGCUCUAAAAGCAAGUCAAACUAAUGGGAAAAUGGAGUAAAAUAGAAAGAGAUGCCAAGAGAAAGGAGAGAAUCUGAGAGCAAAAAAGGAAAGAGAAACUAUAGACAGUGGAGAUAGCAGCCAUAGUGAAAAACAAAUGGCCUGAAGAGUUAUGAAUUGCUGCCGCAGAAUUAAUGAGAUGGAAAAUUUCUCAAGGAAAGGAGCCAAGUAAAAGGAAGAAAAAACAAAAUAGGAGGAAAGAACAACCUGAAAACCCCCAAGUACAAGGUGAACUCGUAAAACAAAAGAAUGGAUAAAUUAAGAAAUGGUGCACCGCAUUAAAGCAAAUGUAUUCUGUUUUCUUUAUUCUUAUCUUUAACUGGCUUUGCAUUUCUCCAGUAGCAAAGCCAAACUGAAAGGAUAAUUUUGUUUAUGUACCCAAUUUGCAUAAUUGUGCAAUAUAAAUUACAAUGCUAAUUAAGGACAGCCCUUGGGCUUCUGGAACGGGGUCAAAGUGGCUCCCUGAGUGCGAGGAGGUUGGGGCAUUGGCUCUGUCCCCUCUCCCACCGCAGGGAAGCCAGGCAAGAGAAAAGAACCUUUCUGACAGUGUGUGAAAUCUUGUCAGAAUUUGUUGAAGACCCAGAACUGUACAUCUCACUCUAAAACUUGGCUUUUAAAAUCAUCUUUGUGUGAUUCUGCAAGGAGGCGCUUGAAAGCUAAAAGUUCUCCUAAAGGCUGUGUUGGUUAUCUUUUUAUGAGGGUUUUUUUUUUUUCUCACCUUUUUUUUUAUUCAGGGAAAAAAUUUUUUUCUUCAAACUGUAGAUAACUGAGUGUGAACCUGGCAUGCAAUACUUUCUCACUGGACUGUUGCCAGAAUUGUCCCAAACCAGUGUAUAUGCAUGCUCCGCUCUUCCUGAGCCCAGGGAGGACAACAAGCUGAUUUCUGAGCUUUAGUUAAACUCAUGUCCCUAAGACGAACUAAGCUAUUGCACUGUAACGACAUCAAAAAUUCAGUCCCAGAGAGUUUAUUUCCUGCUCUAUUCGUAAUAGGGGUCUGUAAGAUAGAGAGUUCCUAUAAUCCUUAGCUUAGAUUUUUCAAGAAUAUUUCUGAGUUCUCUAGUGAAGGGUGGCAUAAUUACAAUGGAGUAUUCUCUAUCUAAGCUUGUUUAUAAGGUGAUGUUUUUGUGAGAGUUUUUUAGCCACUGAAUCCUGACCUCAAGAAAAGCUUACAUACAACAUAGAAAUAUAUCCCAGAUCACUCAGGUUGAAGUAAGGAUGAGGGGGAGCAGUAGGGAGAGGGGCCUAAUGUCCUAUCUGAGGCUUUCCUAUCCAAUUUCUCCUCUUUUCCACCUUCUAAGAGCAUUGCAGCCACCACCUCUAUAAGGUUUUUGUUGUUGUUGUUAUUGUUGUUUAUCUACCUAACUCGGGUAAUAAGGGUUAAGGAUGUUGGUUGUUUAAGCCUUCUUUUGACUUUGACACCAAAAGAUUGUUUUCACUGAGAUCAUUAUAGGAAUAAUUGGGAAAUAUGUGGCCUAUUUUCUAUCUUAUGCUACUUUAUUUUCUAGAGCAAUAUUUUCCAAACUCUUCAAUGUCGAGGCAUACAAAAAAACAACACCAUUUCUAUGGAAUACUGGAGUACACUGUAAGAGAAUUGCUCAUAGUCCAAGGGGACUGGCUCUGGGGCUCUGUCCAACCCAACCUUCUGGUUACCUGAGGCCAUAGACAUUGGUUCAUGGUUGGACAUUAGACUGAAGUCUGGAAAAGCAUAGUCUCAGGAACAAUUGGGGAAGUUGGCAAAAAUCUUAAGAAUAUUAUUUGAGCAUGUGGAUACAGCCAUGGAUAAAUUUUCCAACUUACUCCUGGUAUAUGAGACACUACGCUUCCCACUUUUUUAAAGUUAGUCUUGAGUUUCAUUUUCAACUGGAAUAUUCUUUAUUGAUAUAUAUUUUCAUUUUCUAAAAUUCAGAUCUAAUAGGUCAUGUUCCAGUUUAAAACUCCAGGACUCACCAUUUCAUAAAGGAUAAAGUCCGGAUCUUCAUCUAAUUAUAACUAAUAUAUAGGCUUACCUAUAAUAUAAUUAACACAGAGAUGGUACUCUAUCUCACUGGUUUUCUGAUGACAAUGUUAGCCAGGAGUGGACAGGGUGAUUGGUGUCUCUGGUCUGGUUGGUGUCUUUAUUAUCAUAGUCAAGCAGCCCCCAACCUGUAGGUUGCUUGCUAUUCCUGGAGCUGAUACACAUUUUGGUAGAUCUUCUUUCUCUUUUUCUUCUAUUGGUCAGGAUUGACUUACUCUAGCUCUCUUCUCUAGCAUAUACUCUGAUCCUAGUUGUAAAAGCAUAAUCUUACAAUGUAGGCAUUUUACAGAACACUCCUUCUGGUGAUUGUAUAUACUGAGAGCAAUUACUGUAGAGCCAGUAGAGCAGUGUUUCUCAAAGUGUGGUUCUUAGAUCACAAAUAUCAGCAUCAUCUGGGAAAUUGUUAAUAAUGCAAUUUCCUAGGACCAACCUCAGACCCACUGAAUCCAGAAAUCUGGAAAUGGGGUCCAGAAAUCUAUGUUUUAUUGUUUUGCAUGAUAAACUAUACACAUCAUUGUCAAGGAGGAUCAGGCUUGGAGAACAUCUUGGCUGAAGAUUGCCUAAAACUCCCUCUCUCCUUACUCCAAUAUGCUUUGUUCAUGCCUUUUUAAACUUGUAUCUCAUUGGUAUUUUCUUUUCUAUGGGGAGCUCAUUCAUUCCAGGAAAGAAGCUUUCCUAAUCAAUUGGAUUUGUAGUUUAACAAUUUCAUGCCCACUUUGUAUGAGGUGUUAGGUUCUCACUUCCCUGGAAUAUUCUUGGAAGACUGGAAAGUCAAACAAAUUAGAUUUGUAUUAAUCACCUGCCAUCAUAUCUCCUUCAGUAUGGAAUUUUUAAAUUGUCAUAUAGACUUUUCUCCCCCUCUUAGAUUUGCCUUCUUGCUGACUUCAGGUUAGCAUUAAAAUCACAUUUCUUAGGCAUACAAAAAAUCGAUGACAUUGUCCUAUACAAAAUAAUUCAUACUGUGUGGCAAGAAUACAUCAUUCCAAGUUAAACUCGUGUCGUGCAAAGUCCAUCAAGAAGGCAAAAUAAAUUUGCAUAAAGUGAAUUUUGACUAUACUUGCAUUAUAAGCAAACAUUGCUAUGAGCCCUAUUUGGGAGUUUAGAGUAUCAGCUCUGGAGCUAUACUUCCUGAGCUCAGAUUCUCAUUCACCAUUUACUUGUUAUGGGACCCGGAAAACCCCCUGUGCCUCAGUUUCUUUAUCUGUCACGGAGAAUAUGUUUAGUAAAGUUUAGCCAAUGCUAUAGUUGGAACAACAUUCUGCAAAGGAUGCCCACUUGUAGUAGUCAGGUAAGAUUUAUCUAAACAUCUAUCUCUAAAAACACAUAGAAACUAACAUUUUGAAGGUAAAUAAUUUGUUGAGAAUGAUUACAUCUAAACUGGGAAAUGAAAAAUUUAAUAGUUCUUAUAAAACUUGCACUAGGUAUUCAAACCUAAUAUAACUUUCAGGGGCAUAAAAUGAGUUUAGUAAAGUUUCCAAUUUACCCAACCCCAGAAAUUUGCACCACUUUUAGCUAAAAUAACAAGUUCUGUUCUUACUAAUCCGCCUUGUUUUGACUAUGCAAGUCCAUCUUCCUUUUUUAACAGCCUUGUUCUCUUCUAGCCCUUCUGGUUUAGAAGAUGUUACCUUAUUGUUUAUGAAUGCAUUGGGCUGAUAUGCUGUUCCUUUCAUGUCUGUAAGCCCACAUUGUGUGAACAUUGUAGAAAAUGUUCUAAAAUUUGUAAACAGCUCAAAGUUUAUGUUAAGAUAAGAUUCCUGAUAUAAACAAGACCAAAUGAAGUUUGGCUUCUCUCUACUUUGGCUACAAAAGCCUGCCAGGAAUUAUUAAUUAUCCCAGGAAUGUACCCUGAUCCCUGCUGGCAUACUCUUUGGGUGUCUGGGCUUAGAACUGUACUGUUUUUCCAUUUUAUAUUCUGUCUCUUAUUGGCUAUAUUUGUGCGUUUGUAGUUAUAUCCAUUGUAUGCUUUCUAGAACUGAUAAUUCACUUAAAUAUUACAUGUCUGACUAUAUAUAUUUAUUUAAAAUAUAUUGUCAGGCCCUGUUCUAGGCAUUAAAAAUACGGUAGUAACUGGAGUUAUUGUCAUCAUGAUGCUUAUAUUACCUUAAAGAAAAUAAUUUCCUAGAAGACAGAAACUAAAAUUUAUUAUGUCUUCUUUGCUCUUAAUAGAGUGCUUGGAACAUAAAUAGAUGCUCAAUAAAAACUCUUGGAUUAUUAAAAUAAAUAUUAUAUUUAAGAUAUUAGAAACUUUUGAGGAGCCUGGUUGAAGGAAAUUCAUUAAGUAGAGAUUUACAGUGAGAGAUUAUUUGAGCUGCAAGGUACCUAGUGAAAAGACUUAGCUUUUAGGUGAAAUAACAGAAAAAGAUAUCUGGGUCAGUAAUUAAGAAUUGACUAUAACUGUGUAGCAUACCAUACACACCACAGACCUGAUUGGAGUCAGGGGAAAUAUUAGAAAGAAUGUUGAGUUGGGGAUGAAGAAACCAAGAUUGGCUUGGUCACUUAGUAGCUAGCUGUAUGACCUUAGGGAAGUCUCUUAAGUCCAUAAAACCCACAUAAAAUGGCUCAUUUGAACUUUCAGGAAUGUUGUGAGAAUUAAAGGAAUAGAAUAUCCUGAAGGCGUUUGAUACAUUUUUAUGAAUGUUAACUAUUUUUCCAGGCAGACAGGGUUGGGUUUGUGGAAUGUGUCUUAAAUGGAAAGAUGGUGAUAAAAAUAGGGAGUCUUGGGAAAAGGUGAAACAUGUCCUAAUUCAUAAUCAUUUUGGACUGCCAUGAAAUUAUCCUUCCCCCAAAUCUGAAAUGUGUGUAAAAUAGCUUUAAGAAUGUGUAACUGGAUCCUCAACACACUCAACCACAGGGUGGUAACACACAGUUUAGACUAUUUUUCUAUGGUAGAGCCAAUAAAAAAAUAUUUAAUCUCUUUUAUUGUCAAAUAUUUAGUACAGAAAACAAAUCAGAAUUUAAGUAUUUCUCAAGCUAAUCAUGAAAAUAUCUAGCAUACUCUGUGGACAGUAAUUUCUUGGAUGAUUAGUUAGUUUGCUCUUUGUUUUCCAGUAGGUACAAUCAUAUUGUGAGAUGUUCCAUGUUUAUGAAAUUUAUAGCCAUGAAGAUGACAUAACAUGUUUUGGGUGAGCCAAAGCAGUAGUGCAAACAUUUCAUUAAACUUCAGACCAACACUUUGGGUUGUAUAUUUAUUUCAAGAUAGAUUUUUAAAUAUUAUUGAAAGUACAUUUCUCAUUGCUCCUUUUUUAUUUCCAUUUUUACAUUGUGGAAAAUGCAUCAGACCGAAAACCAGAAAACAUGAAAACUGGGCCCAUUGUCAAUUCACCCAGCUUGGAUAUGUUGUCUUUGGAGAUGUCUUCUCUGCACAUCUGCUGCCCCCCGCCACCAAGAGUUAAACAUUCUUCCAUGGUGCUAUCCUCUAAUUUAUACUACCUUCCUCUAUCACACUUUUGUGUUCACAUGCCUAUCUUUUGUAUCAAAUGGAAGUUCCCUGAUAGAAGACAGUCUCUUUCUUCUUGGUAACUUUGACACAAGGCACGGCCCACCAUUGAUGCACAAUGCAUGUUUAUUGGCUCAAACACAUUCUAUUGAAAUUAGUAUGAUUUUGAUUAACUCUGUAAAAAUGCUACAAGUUUGGGACUCUCAGAAAGCAUUUUAUUUUGAUUCUGAUUAAGCAAUCAUUUGAAUUUCAGAACUUCUUGUGCUUGAUUUAGAGACAUAGAAACCUAGACAAAAAACACUUAGAUUUUUAUAUUCCUCAAAAAAGUACACUUAUCCUUUAAGGGAAUGAAUUUACUGAGGAAAUUCAUAGAAGCUGAAUGUAAGUGAGCAAAACUAAGUGGCUCACGUGUGUGUGUGUGUGUGUGUGUGUGUGUGUAAUAUGAAGGUUAGAUUGGAGAAUGUUGUAUCAAGAUAGAGGAUCUUGUGCAACAGACACUGCUCAAUGCUUAUUCAAUAUCCACUUACCCUUUCUGACUUAACAGCCCUGCCAAUUAAGUGGAAGUGUGCCCAAUUAAAAAAAUCUUGCUUUGGCAGCUUCCAGUGCAGAUAGAAGUGAGACAUGUGACCCAAUUUUGGCCAAUGUAAAAAUUCCCUUAUUCCCUUUGCCAUCCUCCCAGAUGGAUGCCUGGAGGAGCAAUCAUCUUGCAAUCAUGAGGAUUAAAGCCACAUUUUGGGAUUGGUUUUAAUAAGAGUACAAAAGAAAUUUAGAUCCUUGAUGACCAUGGGCCACAGUACUAAUCCCGCUCUUCCUAUCCAUGGAUUUGUUGCAUGGGACCAAUAAGCCCCUAUUUGUUUAACUCGCUGUUGGGUUUUCUUGAAAUCAAACACCGUUCUGGUACAUUCACCCUUCCAAGGAAGAGGGCAGGACAUGACUUGUGAAGUCUGAUGAAACUCGUGUGUGGCUAAAAUACUCUACUGAAACAACUCCAUCUCAGCCCCUGGUGCAAGGGAGUUGCUGUGAAUGGCAUGUGGUAUCUGAUCAUUUUCUUUCUUUUUUAGUUUCUCCUGAGGCCUAAGGUUAAAGAACCCAUGAAAGUUGUCUUGAGGCUCCUCGCCCAGCAAGGAGACCAAUGUGGCGCCUGUACUUAACGACCCUGAGAUUAAGACCUGAGCUCAGAUCAAGAGUCAGAUGCUUAACUGACUGAGCCCCAGAGAUGCUCCAUCCUUCUGGCCAAUGGAUCAGAGAGCAGCUCAGGCCAUGAAAAGCCCAUCUAUUGUUUCUCAGUCUCUCUUCCCUGCUCUUCAGACUUCAGAAGAUCUUUCCCAAGAUGUCAUACUGGCCAUCAGCCCAGUCCCUAAGUGAUUAUGUAUCACUUUUUUUAAAAAAAUCUACACCUUUCAGGAGAGUGGUAUGCAAUAGACCAACAUCUUGGUGCUUAAUUGGGAAACUAGGAAGUAAAAUUGAAAUGCAUGCAUUGAGGACAAGCUACAUAGAAGAAAUUGCAGAGAAUAAUAUGGGAGUUCUAGAAUUGCUUAGUGGCAGCAUAUACCAGAAAGCAUCAGCAAAAUUAUAUUUCCUCAGGACACAUGAAUUAGCAAAGUCUUCUGGGGAUUCCACAUUGUCUGAAAGAGAAUGCAUUUUGCUUGGAAGGACUUUGUGCUAAUCACUGAGUUCCUAGGGCAGAAGGGAAUAAAUUCUGGAAACUUCUUUGCCUUUGAAGUUUAAGAAGUGAUCUAUUGUGGGAACUGAGCGGCCCUAACCAGCCAAACCAGAACUGUUUCUGAGACCUACAUAACCUCUUCCAGGGCUACUUAUUUCCAUUCAACUGUUAAAUUCAAGACUCUGGAUUAUGUGCAGUGGAAAUGCAUGGAAGAAAAAGCUACAGAUCCUACCCAGAAGGACCUAAUUGUCCCUGAGCAGAGGGUUAAUGCUGUGAAUUACACUAUUGCUUUUUGAAUAUUAAAAAACAACUUUACAAUCUUCUGCAAAUUGUGAGCUCACAUGGACCAGUUCAAGCAUACUCAUAAGCAAAGUAUCAGAUUUACAUGAAUCAAAUGUCAAUUCCAAUCAUCUCUGGAAUCUCAACAUUCCAAGCAGAGACAUAUUCUCUGUUGAAACAGGAUUGAGUCAAGAAGCCACAGACCAGGCCUGUCACCCACCCCUACACGCGGUCAGCACGUCGCCUUUCAACUUUGGCCCAUGGAGCUGCUGCUGCCAAACCCCAACCUGCUGGCUUCUCAAAUUCUGCCACUUCUUGGUUCAGGGCCCCUUAAUCAGCCUCCAGGGACACCAUAUUGUCUCCUUGAGGCAAGACCCAGAAACGGACAAGAACUCCUUUCUCAUCUUGCUGCUUUCUAACAAAGAAAAGGCAUCAUUUCAAGGCUGAGAAUGAGGUUCCAAGGUUGAAGAGUCAAAUAUUGGUUCUCUGUGGGCACAUCAAAUGAGUUUUUCUUCCCUACCCUGUCUUUUCAUUAUGUCUGUAUCAGUCAGUGUCCUGUUGCAGAGAAAAGAAUCUACUCUACUCAAUAUAACCAGAAGGGAUUUACUUGAGAACGUUAAAUGCCACACAAGAUCAUUAGGAGUGCUGAAGACCCUGACUCUUGAUGAGGUUUUCAGGAAUCAUUCAGAAAGCUACACUGCAGAACUGGGUUAAGGGAGCUGCUGUCUCUGCCACUGUCCAGAAGCUGUAAGAGCAGGAAACUGCAUAUGACAUCAAGAGGAUGAUGCUACAACAUCUGCCAGCUCAAGGGCCACACUACAUCUGCCAAUAGCUGCACCAGUAAAAUGGACUUCUGGUAUCAUGAUUCCCUAGCCAUAUGACUUAGUUUGAAAUAAAAAUUUUGUCCUAGUUCAUCAAAUCAAAGGACUUACAGCACCUAUAGAAAUAUACACACACAUAUAUAACAAUACAUAUAUAAAUUACAUCUAGAAAUGUAUAUAUAUACAAUCACAUCCAGAACUACACGACUAUAAAUUCCAUCUAGGAACUGUAGUUUGUUGUUGAUUUUUGUUUGUUGCAUAUACUAAAAGGGGGUUAGGGUUUGGAAUGUCUGUUGAGAAAGCUCAUUCACAGCAGUCAUCAUACAGAAUAUGCACCUUCCUCGUUUCUACCAGUGAAGAGGGACUACACAGGUGACUUACGACAAUAACAAACAAGAUAUGGAUGUUCUGGGAGAUGUUUGAUAUAUUUCUGUUUUACUUUCCACAAAGUAUAGGCCUUAUUUUAGAGAUUCAAGUUGAAACUUUGACAUUUAUAAAUAGUUAUUAAAUUAAAUUAUUCAUGGCAAUAUCAAAAAUUUAUUGGCUUUUCAAAGAAAAUAUGAAGUUUUUAACAGGUUAGUUCAAAACAGUUAAACCUCAGUGCUAUUGACACUUUGGCCAGAUCACUGUCUCUUUGAGAGGCUCCCCACAUUGUGCGAUAUUUAGCAGCAUGUGUGGCUUCUACCUACAAAAUGCCAGUAGUUCCAUCUUCCCUCAGGUGUGAAAAUCAAAACUGUCUCCAGCUAUUGCCAAGUGUCUGCUGGGGAGAGCACAAAAUUGUCCUCAGUUUUGAACCUCUGGUAUAUGUGGGAUCACAUAUGAGAGAGACUGCCAAAUCCCACUUCAAAAAAUAGAAACAAAGAGUAACAUCCAGAAAACAUAAUUUUUAUUUCUUGAUCAUUUUCUAUUCUAAAUUUUAGAAAUAUGUUUUCCAAUUUUAUGUUUUUAGAAAAUAUUUUUAAAGAUGAGCCUCAUCCAAGUUAUUAGCACCUGUUUGUAGAUUUUCCCCUUUACACAAAGUAGUUUCUCUACAUUAUGAGGUACUUCAACAUAAUAUAAAGAAGUACCUUUUAAGUAAUCCUAUUUUUAUAUGCAACUAUAAAUUUGAACUGUGUGGAUUUUGCAUUUUGUAUAAAUUUUAAAAUAACAUGGCUUCCCUGUUUCUUUAAAUUCAUUACAAUUUUUCAUUUAUAUCACUUAAUGCCAACAGUGAUGUUAACCUCAAGAAACCAAAAUUUUCACUUGUAAAGAUACCACUUUCUCAUAGAAAUGAAUCUAGCUAUUAAAAUGAAAUGGAAAAAUACUUAUUUCUGGCAAAUGUGAGAGAAGUAGUUACUCAUUAAUAUUGCUUUGCAAUAAUAGUGAUAAUGAGGUAAAUUAUAUUUUUAAUUCUAUCUUCCGGUCAUCAUCAUGUAAGCUCCAAGUCAGACUCUUGCCCCAUCCUUAACGAGAGAGUUAUGGUUCUAGAUUUUCUUCUGCUUCAACUUUCUUCAAUUAGUAAUCAUGGCUCAAAAUGGCUGGGAUUUUCAAUGGAAUGGAUUUUCAAUGGAACCUCCAGAAAGAGGUUCUUGAAUUCUCAACUCUGGUUACACAAUUAUCUCUUUGAUAGGAAACACUGAUGUCUAGAUCUCAUCCUGAGGGCAUCUGAUUUAAUUCGUCUGGGGUGGAGCCUGGCCAUAGGUUUUCUUUUAGAACUCUCUGGAUUCAUCUAAUAUACAGCCAAGGUUGAGAAACAUUAUUGGAGGACAAUAGAGCUCAACUCUGAGAAAAUUAUAUAUAGUUUGAAAAAGUCCUUUGGAUAAUUUUCAUAUAACUUCUUUAUGGGAAUACCCUGAGAAUGAGCUUCCCAUGAACCAAGAGUCUUCUUUUCUUGUCUUUUCUCUCUUUUUCUUUCUCUGCUCCACUUACCCCAAAGAUGGAACCCUGAAGAAAAACAAGACUCUCCAAUGCAGAGUCAGAAAAAUUUUGUGUGGCAUAGGAUGCUUUCUUUAGUCUCAGGAUGAAAUCUGGGAAGAUGAGGCCUAGUGUCAUGAUCGACCAUAAAGUUCCA